AUUGAACGCUGGCGGCAGGCCUAACACAUGCAAGUCGAACGAGUGGCGGACGGGUGAGUAAUUUCUGGGAACCUGCCUGAUGGAGGGGGAUAACUACUGGAACCGGUAGCUAAUACCGCAUACCAUCAGAUGUGCCCAGAUGGGUUUAGCUGGUGGGUGGGGUAACGGCGAACCAAGGCGACGAUCCCUAGCUGGUCUGAGAGGAUGACCAGCCACACUGGGACUGAGACACGGGCCAGACUCCUACGGGAGGCAGCAGUGGGGAAGAUUGGACAAUGGGCGCAAGCCUGAUGCAGCCAUGCCGCGUGUAUGAAGAAGGCCUUCGGGUUGUAAAGUACUGUCAGCGGGGAGGCGGUACCCGAAGAAGAAGCACCGGCUAACUCCGUGCCAGCAGCCGCGGUAAUUC
rnacentral:rRNA from 1 species